CCUUCGAUAGCUCAGUUGGUAGAGCGGAGGACUGUAGAGCAAUCAACAUUGAUAUCCUUAGGUCGCUGGUUCGAAUCCGGCUCGAAGGA
rnacentral:tRNA from 1 species